GACGAACGCUGGCGGCGUGCUUAACACAUGCAAGUCGAACGGGUCUGCCCUGUUUUUUGCGGGGUGGGUCAGUGGCGAACGGGUGAGUAACACGUGAGUAACCUGCCCCUCACUUCUGGAUAACCGCUUGAAAGGGUGGCUAAUACGGGGUGUUCUGGCUGUGCCGCAUGGUGUGGCUGGGAAAGAUUCACUUUUGUGGUGUUUUGGUGGGGGAUGGGCUCGCGGCCUAUCAGCUUGUUGGUGGGGUGAUGGCCUGCCAAGGCUUUGACGGGUAGCCGGCCUGAGAGGGUGGGCGGUCACACUGGGACUGCGAUACGGCCCAGACUCCUGCGGGAGGCAGCAGUGGGGGGUAUUGCACAAUGGGCGGAAGCCUGAUGCAGCGACGUCGCGUGAGGGAUGGAGGCCUUCGGGUUGUGAACCUCUUUCGCCGGUGAAGAAGGUCCUGCUCUUUGUGGUGGGGUUGACGGUAGCCGGGUUAUGAAGCGCCGGCUAACUACGUG
rnacentral:rRNA from 1 species